GGAGGUACCGUCAGGCCUGCAGGUAUUAGCUACAGGAGAUUCGUCCCUCUCCACAGAGCUUUACGACCCGAGGGCCUUCAUCACUCACGCGGCGUGGCUGGGUCAGGGUUGCCCCCAUUGCCCAAUAUUCCCC
rnacentral:rRNA from 1 species